AGAGAAAUGAAGAGAGAGUUUUUGCAGUGAGCAUCAGUAAUGUGAGCGUGAGAGAUGCUGGAGUUUACUGGUGUGGAGCAGAAACCAGAGACACACAUUUGACUUUCAUCUCCCUGACCACCAAAAUUCAGCUCAACCUCAUCAUGGCUCCAGUAGUGAGACGUGAAGGAGAAUCUGCUGAGAUCAUCUGCCCUUAUGAUUCAAUCUAUAAAUCAAAGUCAAAGUCUCUCUGUAAGGGGAAGUGCUCCACUAGAGAUAGAAAUACUCUCAAUGAAGAGAAAGAGACCAAGACUGACAGAUUGACUCUGAAUGAUGACGCCACUGCAAGUGUCUUCACUGGGACCAUCACUGGACUGACAGCAGAGGAUGCUGGGAAAUACUGGUGUGCAGUGACAUUAGAGAGAGACGUGAAUUAUCUUUACACUCAUCUGAUCGUCAUCAUGAACGAGGAGCUGAACUUGACUAAGUAUGAAGGAGACGACAUGUCAAUCCAGUGCAAACAUCAUGAUGAACAUCAGAAACUCUUCUGCAAAGCACAUGAACCCUCCAUGUGUGUGAAGGAUGGAGUUUCAUUGGAGACGAUCAGAGAUGAUCGAUUCUCUUUCAGUGAUGAAGCUUCUACUGGAGUCUUUACUGUAAACAUCACUGAUCUGAGAGAAGAGGAUUCUGGGAUAUACUGGUGUGGAGCUCAAAUCACCACUAAAGUCAACCUCACU